rnacentral:lncRNA from 1 species
GAGGGACUAGAAUCUCCAAAGAGGCAGAGCUGGGCAAAUAGACUGAGGUACUUGGGUGUAUCUAUAGUGCAGGGAAUGAUGUAGCACUCAUUUUUAAAGGUGCAAGCUGAGAUGAGAACUUGGAAAGUCAAGGGACUCAGUUGCACAAGGUAUGGGAACAUUGGAAAGAGCCAUCUCUUGUGUGGAUGAUUGUGGAGCUG